ensembl:lncRNA
GACAGACUUCAGACUCUGUUUAAGGAGAGUUUAAGCAGAAGUGGAACAUGAUGAAAUAUGAGAGGUGCAAGUUUUAGAAAUGCUCACCCAAUCCUGGUCUAAGGAAUGGAUUCCAGAGGAGACCCAAAAGCAGCUGUUCUCAGAGCCAGAGAGGGCCUAUUGAAUGGUUGGGACUUUCUCUAUUUGUCACAGUGACUUGGAAUCCUACUGGCACUUCUUGGAUGGGAACAGGACAGUCCCAUACAAGGAGGAAUUAUUCCGUGUCCCAUUGGACUCUCAAAGGACCCACUGGACAUUCAGGAAGAAAGCUACGUUGCCUUUGGAACCUCUAAAGUCGGGAGAGACAUUCCAAUUUCCCUUCUGGCCUGGAGGAACACAAGCUUAAUGUAGCUUGCAGGAAGCCUGAUUUCAGCUAGCUUUAACACCCCCAGAAGGAGUUCAAAUGUGAAAGAACAGCACUUUCCCUUUUAGGAGGCCCAUCUUAUCACAGACAACAGGGACAGGUUCUUUACUGCAAGUGCCACCUGAGAAGGCCAAAGUCAACUUCACCCAAAUCUUAAUCUGAGACCAGUGAACACAACUUCCCACAGGGAAGAUCACAGGGAAGAUCAGAGAGCAGCGACCAGCGGAAGAUGGAAUGGAUCCCGGGCAGACAAAGCCAACAGAUGGGCGUUGAUAGAUCCAGGACUAAAUGAAAACAGGGCUCCACAAACACGGAGAAGGAGUCCUCAUUGAGAGCAAAGACUUCCAUUUAUCUACAGAGAGAGAAUGAUACAAUGAUAUCAAAAUGCACCCACUUUUCAGCCAUUCAAGAAGGAAAAGAUUUGAAUGAGAAGUCCCAGUGCUAACUG